CCACCCAACCACUUACAUCUGCAUACUAACAUCUGUAUGCGAACCUUCUGUCGAUGCUAUCAAAGGCUCUCCAUGUGCACCUCUCAUAAAUAAUGUGAUUAUCCUUAGCUGUAUUUAUUAUUAUUUUUUUGCAGGAACAAAGUCAUCUGGAUCGGUAUAAUUUCACAGAUAGGAAUAGCUUUGAUUCUCUGUUAUGGUCUUGGAAGCAUCAGUGCCUUGAAUUUCGAACCUCUUCGGGUCCAGUAUUGGUUUGUCUCCGUGCCUAAUGCCAUCUUGAUAUGGGUCUACGAUGAAAUGCGCAAGUUAUUCAUCCGACGAUAUCCCGGAAGCUGGUGGGAUAAAAACAUGUACUACUGAGAGUGAUGGAUGGUAUACAACAGGGGCCUUUUUUGGGGGGGUCGCUCCUUCAAAGUUGUGUUUGUGCAAUAUCAAUUGGUAGCAGGAUCUCCUCCCUGGAGGGAAAGAAAAAAAAAAAAGAAGAGAAGGACCAUGGGACUGUAAAAGAAUUCACCUGGGAUUACCAACUUGAAUAUUUCCCGUUUUUAUUGCCCGAUCCUUUAAGUGUUGAACAUGUACGAAGUCUGAAGCCUCUUGUAUAUAGAGCGAAAGAAACCGAAGGAUUGUCCUUCCCGUGACAGCAAAAAGGACGGCCUUCGAAUUGCACUUUCUUCAAAGUUGUACUUUUUUCGUUCAGCGUGACCAUGGCACCUCCUGCAAGCAAUCCCAGCGGAAGCUCUCAGGUGUCGAUCGCCUUGCGUGGCCCUGGAUUGCAGUGUACAAAUAUAGUUUGAUAAUAAAAGCCUUUUUUAUGGAAAAAUCUCUGUUUUGUCAUGCCUGGUUCCUUAACAGUUGGCAGAAGCUGGUGC